UACGUAGGUGGCAAGCGUUGUCCGGAAUUAUUGGGCGUAAAGCGCGCGCAGGCGGUCUUUUAAGUCUGAUGUGAAAGCCCACGGCUCAACCGUGGAGGGUCAUUGGAAACUGGGGGACUUGAGUGCAGGAGAGAAGAGUGGAAUUCCACGUGUAGCGGUGAAAUGCGUAGAGAUGUGGAGGAACACCGGUGGCGAAGGCGGCAACCUGGACCGACACUGACGCUGAGGAGCGAAAGCCAGGGGAGCAAACGGG
rnacentral:rRNA from 1 species